rnacentral:rRNA from 1 species
GCUGGCGGCAGGCCUAACACAUGCAAGUCGAGCGCGCCUUUCGGGGUGAGCGGCGGACGGGUUAGUAACGCGUGGGAAUAUACCCUUUGGUACGGAAUAGCCUCUGGAAACGGAGAGUAAUACCGUAUGAGCCCUUCGGGGGAAAGAUUUAUCGCCAAAGGAUUAGCCCGCGUUAGAUUAGGUAGUUGGUGGGGUAAUGGCCUACCAAGCCUACGAUCUAUAGCUGGUUUUAGAGGAUGAUCAGCAACACUGGGACUGAGACACGGCCCAGACUCCUACGGGAGGCAGCAGUGGGGAAUCUUGGACAAUGGGGGCAACCCUGAUCCAGCCAUGCCGCGUGAGUGAUGAAGGCCUUAGGGUCGUAAAGCUCUUUCGCCUGUGAAGAUAAUGACGGUAGCAGGUAAAGAAACCCCGGCUAACUCCGUGCCAGCAGCCGCGGUAAUACGGAGGGGGUUAGCGUUGUUCGGAAUUACUGGGCGUAAAGCGCACGUAGGCGGACCAGAAAGUUGGGGGUGAAAUCCCGGGGCUCAACCCCGGAACUGCCUCCAAAACUAUUGGUCUAGAGUUCGAGAGAGGUGAGUGGAAUUCCAAGUGUAGAGGUGAAAUUCGUAGAUAUUUGGAGGAACACCAGUGGCGAAGGCGGCUCACU